rnacentral:piRNA from 1 species
UCAAAUUCCCAAUGCACCGGUUCCUAGA